rnacentral:rRNA from 1 species
UACAGAGGGUGCGAGCGUUGUCCGGAAUCACUGGGCGUAAAGGGCGCGUAGGUGGUGGCUUAAGCGUGCGGUGAAAGCUCGGGGCUCAACUCCGAGUCGGCCGUGCGAACUGGGCUCACUGGAGCAUAGUAGAGGCAGGUGGAAUUCCGGGUGUAGUGGUGAAAUGCGUAGAGAUCCGGAGGAACACCAGUGGCGAAGGCGGCCGCCUGGACCUGACCUGACGCUGAGGCGCGAAGGCGCGGGGAGCGAACGGG